CCUACGGGUGGCUGCAGUGGGGGAUAUUGCACAAUGGACGGAACUCUGAUGCAGCGACGUCGCGUGAGGGAAGAAGGCUUUCGGAUUUUUAACCUCUGUCUUCGGUGACGAAACGAGACGGUAGCUGCGGAGGAAGCCACGGCGAACUACGUGCCAGCAGCCGCGGUAAUACGUAGGGGGCAAGCGUUGUCCGGAAUUACUGAGUGUAAAGGGAGCGUAGGCGGGAAAGCAAGUUGAAUGUUUAAGGUACGGGCUCAACCUGUACAAGCGGUUAAAACUGUUGAUCUUGAGUGUAGUAGAGGUAUGCGGAAUGCGUAGUGUAGCGGUGAAAUGCGUAGAUAUUAGGAGGAACACCAGUGGCGAAGGCAGCUUACUGGGCUUUAACUGACGCUGAGGCUCGAAAGCGUGGGUAGCAAACAGGAUUAGAUACCCUAGUAGUC
rnacentral:rRNA from 1 species